rnacentral:lncRNA from 1 species
CCAUUGAAGGUUUUUUUUUUUAAAAAAAAAUAUCUUUAAAACUCCAUUAAAGCUCAUCCAUUAAAGCUCACUUAACUAUCUUUAAAACUCAAUCCAAUCAUUUAACUAUCCUUAAAACUCAAUUCAAUCAUAAAACUAUUUUUUUAAUUGAUUUGAACAAAAAAAAAUACUGGACGGGAAGAGUGGUGGACACGAGGCGGCGAGGGAGAGGUGUUGAACGCGAUGGGUGGGGAAGGGAGGUGCUGGAUGGGUGGAGGUGGAGGUGUUGAAUUUGGGGUGGAAAUUAAACGUAUUUGACACAUGGCAGCACCUGAUUAGUGCGUGUGUUCACUCUCUUUGUUGUGAUUGAGAUUCAGCGAAAAAUGGUGUGUUUGCAACGGAUUAAGUAAGAAUCGUGGGGUAAUAGGUCGAAUUCAAAGUUUAGGUAUCUUUUUGAAAAUCUCGACCAACAUCGGGGGAUAAUUAUGUAUUUACUCAUUCUUUAAUCUUAAGAUGUAUUUGUAAUGAACAAAGUUCUUAGGCUUGUUUUAAACCAAUCAAAAUUUUAAAUUCCUUUCCAUUUAUAUAUAGAGAGAAAAUAAAACUAGACAUACAUUAUAAGGCGCAAUGAUAUUUGAUGUCUAUAUAACUAUCAAUUACAUUUUUUUUUUCUUUACCUCAUUUAUUUUACGUUUUUUAAUUUACAAUUGUUAAAAAAAAAAUUGAGUAAUAAAGGAAAAAAAUAAAAAGAAGCUUCACCUGCUUUAUUUACCUAAUAAAAGCCCACUAAACCAAUAAAGAUUAAAAUUCAUUUUCUUAAACAACACCACAUAGUUAUAGCAACUUAUACCAUUUGCAUUUCUCUCUCAUUAGUGGUUUUUCCUCAGAAAUUUUCAGCUUCAUCUCUUUUCACAUUCAUAAUCUCCGAAGAAUUGGUUUAAAAAAUUUAAAGGUAUCGAAUAAUAUUUCUUCAUUAUUAUCUAUAUAAGUUCAUAAAUUUUUUUUUUUUUAUCUAUUAAAAUCCUAACCAAGGUCAUCCUCUCAUUUCAUAUUUUAAAUAGUAAUGUUUUUAUAUUUUUUUUUUGAUAUUAUAUUCAUCUUUUAGUUUCACCUAAAGAAGACUCUUAAAAAUGAAAUGAGUCAUGUAAGGAAACCAUUACAAAGAUGUUUUUGGAGUUACGAAGGAAACUUCAAAAUCACAUUAAUCAUCGAACAGGAACAAUAAUUAACUCUAUGAGAUAGAAUCUCUCAUUGUUCCUAAAUAGUUCAGUGAUAGAGUGGUCGGCUGUUAAUCGAUUGGUCAUAGUUUUAAAUCCUACUUGAGGGAUUUGAUUAAUAUUGAAUUCUUUAAUUCGAAAUAAAGGGGCUUGCUUUUUCCGUUAAUAUUAGGUAGCCCUUUUUCUAUCUUUAUUUUAGUAAUCGACUUAUGAGAGUGGAUAUAAACAAGAGCUCAGAGAAUUGUGUUAUAUAAGUUCAAUUUUUUUGUUUCAUAAGACCCUGUCCACUAUCAAGGAUCAUCCUCUAAUUUCAUAUUUGAAGAAUUAAUACUGUUAUGUUUUUUAUGGUUUUAUAAUAAUUCUUUAGUUUGGCUUGAAGAAAGAAGACUCAUAAAUGUUGUGUUAUUUCUUUUUUUCAUUUAUAUUUUAAGCUUUUAUUCUUAGGUAGAAAAAUAUAUUUUAAAUUAAAUGUGGAAAUUAGGGUCUAUACCUUUUAUUUUACUUAUCAUUAAUAUAUUUUGUAUGUUUUUAUUUUUCAAUAAAUUUAAAAUUUUUGUAAUUAUAAGAAAACUAUUUAAAAAGGGUAUGAUUCCAAAAAUUCUCUCCAAGUGUGCGUUAGCAAACGUGUGUCAUCCAUAGAUAGGAGGCCUAACAACACGAUCCUAUCUUGAAAUUUGAUGAAGGAUGCUCUUAUGAAUGGCUUGGAGACUGGUAAUGGAGGAAUUAAUCCAUCUAGCAGUGGAAUCGGUGCAGGAAGCAAUGGAAUAGUAGCGGGGUUAGAGGAUCAAGUUGGGACUAGGUUACAAACUCCGGUGACGGUAUUUAAACCUAUACUGGUGAACGAUCAAGUACAAGAAUGGUCAGCGUACAUGAAUAUAGUUGAUUCCAAGCUCUCAUGGAUGGAUAAGGUUGACAUUGUUGAAGCUCAAUCUGGUGGUGUUAUUAGGGGGAAACCUCCAGUGGUGCAAUCAAUAUGGAAGGAGUUUAAUAUCUCGAAGCUUGAAAAUGCAAGAUCAGCUUGAAUAUGUUGAUCCAAAAUAAGUUGGAGAUCAGUUGAUUGGUUACAUUGUAUUUGAGGAUAUUAAAAUAGAGGUUGGUUAUUGGUAAAAUCUAAUUGUUUGUUAUAUCCUUGGGGAUCACCCUCCCUUUUCGAUGUUGAAUAGAUUUAUUCGGAGAAUUCGGUGGUAAUAUGGUGAAUAAGAUAACAAUGAUGAAGAAUGGAAUUGUUUUAAUGAGAUUUGAUAAUGAGGAAGGCAAAAUAGAAGCAUUACUGUGAGGCAUUUACCACUUUAACAAUAGGCCAUUUAUUGUCAAUGUUUGGUCGCCUAAGAUGGAACUCUCAAAAGUAAAGCUAUUCAUAGUGUCUAUAUGGAUUAAAUUACUAGCCCCAACUUCAAGUAUUAGAGCCCUAAAAGGUUAAGUGAAAUUGGAAGGUUGGUGGGUCAACCACUCGAUGGUAGAUAGUCUAAUGAGAAGAAAUUAGGCCUGAGCUUUGCUAGAUUGUUAGUUGAGGAAAAGGUAGGAACAAUUUACCAAAUAAGGUGAUGUUUAAAAAUGAUAGGGGUGGAAUAAUAGUGUACAAGUUUACCUACAAUUAGAAACCAUAAAUAUGUGCCCAUUGUCACAAAUAUGGACAUGAGAAGCAAGACUGUAGGAAGCUGAAGCCUAAGACAGCACCUAAAUAGAUUAGGAUCCAAAUCUAGUGACUGAUAUUGAUGAUGCAAAGGAUCAAGGGGGGUCGGAACUUGUAGGAACAAAAGGUCAAGUGUGGAGGGGAGGAAAAAUGAAGGUUGACAAUGUCCUCUCUAUGUUCAAUAUAGUUACUAUUAAUAGUUUCACAAUGCUUGAUCAACAUGAGGAGCUAGUAAGUGAUCGUAAGGGUGUGUUAGAAAAAUGUAUAAGAGCUGCAGCAGUUUAAUUUUUAUGUUAUCUGUUAGAAGUUAAUAUUAGUCAGUAGUAAAAUUAGUUUCUAAUCCUUAUCCUUAUCUUUAGGAGUUGGUUAUUUUUUCAGUUAGGAUUGUAACCUAUAAAUAAUUUUAAUUCUGCAAUAAAGCUGUAGUUUUUGCUUUCAUCAAUAUCUCUCAAUUAAACUUAUCAAACUCAUGUUCCACUUGUUCAUCAACAUGUAAAAUUAGUUUCUUAUGUUCUUCACUCUCUGGAAACUAACAAUUGGUAUUAAAACACUUAUUUCUUGAGGGAUCUGUGGGUGUUUCAUCUAAGUAAUAACUGAAAUAAGGCAAGUUUAUGAAGCAUGGAAGCAGAAUCAAGUUUAUCAAGUAUGGCACCACCUGUUUUUAAUGGUGAUAACUAUCAGAUUUGGGCUGUAAGGAUGAAAACUUAUCUAGAUGCCAUGGAUAUGUGGGAGGUAGUUGAAGAGGAUUAUGAAAUUACUCCAUUGCCUGAAAAUCCAACUAUGGCCCAUAUCAAGAACCAUAAAGACAAGAAAACCAGAAAAUCAAAGGCAAAGUCCUAUCUAUUUUCAGCAGUAUCUUCUUUAAUUGUCACUUAAAUUAUGUCUCUAAAGUCAGCCAAAGACAUAUGUGAUUAUCUCAAGUCAGAAUAUGAAGGGGAUGAGAGGAUCAGAGGUAUGCAAGUUUUGAACCUUAUAAGAUAUUUCGAAAUACAGAAGAUGAAAGAAACCGAAACCAUAAAAGAUUACUCUGAAAGGUUCCUGAACAUAGAAAAUAGAGUAAGAUUGCUUGGUUCCAUGUUUAAUGAUUCUCGUAUUGUUGAAAAAAUUCUGGUAACUGUGCCGAAAAGAUUUAAAGCAACCAUAACUACCUUGGAAAACACCAAGGAUAUGUCCAAGAUCACUUUGGCGGAGUUUUUGAAUGCUUUGCAGGCUCAAGAACAAUGAAAGUUCAUGAAAGGUGAAGGAAAUACCGAGGGAGCAUUGUUUGCCAAGCCUCAACAUGGAGGUAAAAAUAAAAAGAACAAGAACAAGAAGAAUGAUGAAAGUGCUCCAGUAGGUACUGUAACAGGAAAAGCUGGAAACAAAAGGAAAAGUUUUCCUCCAUGUAAGCAUUGUAACAAGAAAGGCCAUCCACCAUACAAGUGUUAGAGAAAGACUGACGCUAAGUGUAGUAAAUGCGAUCAACUUGGGCAUAAAGUGGUCGUUUGUAAGAACAAUAAUCAACAACAAGAAGCAGAUGCUCAAAUCAUGGAUGGAGAGGGGAAAGAUCAACUCUUUGUUGCUGCAUGUUUUUCAAGUAAAUCAUCAAGUGAGUGUUGCUUGAUUGAUAGUGGAUGUACUAAUCACAUGACAAACGACAAGGAUCUCUUCAAGGAAUUGAAACCUACAACUACUACUAAAGUCAGAAUAGGUAAUGGUGAAUAUAUUACUAUACAAGGAAAAGGAACGGUUGCUAUUCCAAGUCACUCAGGUACAAAAACAAUUUCUGAAGUGCUUUAUGUACCUGAAAUAGAUCAGAACUUGCUUAGUGUUGGUCUAUUGAUGAAAAAUGUCUUCAAAUUAAAUUUUGAAGAUAAACAUUUCUUGAUCAAUGAUGCAUCAGAUUAAGAAAUAUUUAAAGUAAUAAUGAGAGGUAAAAGUUUCUCAUUAGAUCCAUUUAAGGAGGCGCAUAUAAUUUUUUCAGCCAAAGAAAAUGUUACAAAAGUAUGGCACAAGAGACUAGGGCAUUAUCACUAAGAAAGGUCUCUCAAAAUGCAAAAGGCAGAAAUAGUCGACGACCUACCUAUCUUAAAAGUGAAUUCUUCAAAUUGCCUUGCGUUUCAAUAUGGGAAACAAAGCAGACUUCCAUUUUCAAAAACAACUUGGAGAGUAUCAAAGAAAUUGUAACUAAUUCAUAUCGAUAUAGCAGGACCUCAAAGGACUCCCUCACUAAGAGGUAGUCUUUACUAUAUCAUUUUUGUUGAUGAUCUAACUCGCAUAUGUUGGAUUUACUUUCUCAAGCAUAAGUCCGAUUCAAAGAAAAAGUAAAAAAUGAAGCUGCUUGUAAAAUUCAGUCCAUACGAACAGAUAAUAGAAAGGAAUACACUUCUUAACAAUUCAAUAUUUUAUGUGAGGAAGUAGGAAUUCAUCAUCAGCUUACUACUCCGUAUACUCUUAAACAAAAUGGAGUAAGUGAAAGAAGAAAUAGAUACAUAAUGGAGAUGACUAUAUGUAUGUUGCACGAGAAGAACUUGCCAAAGAAAUUUUGGACAGAAGCAGCAAAUACAUCAGUUUUUCUCUAAAUAAGGCUUCCCACAAAGGCAGUGAGAGGUCGAACUCCUUUUGAAGCUUGGUAUGGGUUUAGACCAUCAUUAAACUUCCUUAAAGUGUUUGGUUGUAUUUGUUUUUCAUUUGUUCCUCAAGUUAAAUUAGACAAGCUAGAUAAGAAAUCUGUUCAAGACAUUUUUAUUGGAUAUAGUGCAGUUUCAAAGGCUUAUAAAGUCUUCCAACCGCAAACUAAAAAUAUAAUCUUCAGUAGAGAUGUGUAUUUUAUGAAGAAUGAAGAAUGGUGUUAGGAAGACUCAAACAAAUCUAUCCUAAAUUCUUUGGACUCAACAGAAAAGUUUCUUGCCAAAGUUCCUGAAAAGAAAAUAUCACUCUCAUCGCAAAGUGAAGUGGUGGAUCAUUCACAGGUUAAAGGUACUCCACUACUCAUUGAUAUAUAUCAGAGAUAUAAUGUGGCAGUAUGUGAACCUGGGUACAUUGAAGCCAAGAAUGAAGAAAAUUGGGUGGCUGCAAUGAAGGAGGAGUUUUUUAUGAUUGAGAAGAACAUUACUUGGGAGCUUGUUGAUCAACCUAAAGACAAAAAAGUAAUUGGGUUAAAAUGGGUCUUCAGAACAGAGUUAAAUGCUGAUGGUUCAAUCAACAAGAAUAAAUCAAGGCUUGUCGUUAAGGGAUAUGCUCAAAUUUUUAGUGUGGAUUACUUUGAUACAUUCGCACCAGUGGCUAGGCUUGACACGAUCAGGUUACUUCUUGCUCUUGCUGCAUAAUUGGGCUGGAAAGUGUAUCAUAUGGAUAUCAAAUCAGCAUUUCUUAAUGGUUUUCUCCAGGAAGAAAUUUAUGUUGAGCAACUCGAAGGCUUUAUGAUGAAAGAAAAAGAGGAAAAAGUUUACAAGCUAAGGAAGGAAAGUUUACAGGCUAAGAAAGGCACUUUAUGGACUUAAACAGGAACCAAAGGCCUGGUAUGGUCGAAUAGAUAAUCAUUUGCUUGGGUUAGGCUUUGAAAAGAGUCUAUCAGAAUCUACACUUUAUGUUAAACAUAAUGGCAUUGAUAUUCUUGUUGUGUCUAUAUAUGUUGAUAAUGUACUAGUUACAGGGAGAAAUACAAAGAAUAUUGAGGAUUUCAAGCAAGAAAUGAUGCAAGCCUUCAAGAUGACUGAUCUUGGUUUAAUGUCUUAUUUUCUUGUAAUGAAAAUCAAACAGGGAUAGAAUAAAGUUUUCAUUUGUCAAAAGAAAUAUGCUAAAGAAAUUCUGAAGAAGUUCAACAUAGAAGAUUGCAAGGAGAUGAGUACUCUUAUGAACCAGAAAGAGAAACUAAGCAAGAAUGAUGGAGUAGAGAGAGUGAAGAAAAUGUACUUCAGAGGCUUAGUCGGUUGUUUGAUGUAUCUCACAGCUAUAAGACCCGAUAUUUUGUAUGUUGUAAGUAUUUUAUCAAGGUUCAUGCAUUGGGCUAGUGAGCUGCAUCUAAAACCUGCAAAAAGAGUAAUCAGAUACAUCAAACGAACCAUUAAUUAUGGUGUCAAGUUUCAGAAAAAUCCAAAUCUGAAACUACUUGGGUAUUCUGUAGUGAUUGGGCUGUAUCAGUGGAUGACAUGAAGAGCACAUCUUGAUAUUACUUUAGUCUUAGCUCCGGAAUAUUUUUUUGGUGCUCAAAGAAGAAUGAUAUUGUGGCUCAAUCCACUACAAAAGUAAAAUUUGUGGCUGCAACAACAGCAGUGAAUCAAGCUCUGUGGUUAAGAAAAGUAUUUGUUGAUUUGCAUAUGAAUCAAACAAAAGGAAUUGAAGUAAUUGUGGACAACCAAUCUGCGAUUCCAAUUCCUCACAAUCUUGUAUUUCAUGCCAAAACAAAAUACUUCAACAUCAAGUUUUUCUUCUUAAGGGAGGUGCAAAAGACUAGUGAUGUGAUUUUCCUCUAUUGCAAAACCAAGGAGCAACUGGCUGAUAUCUUCACCAAGCCUUUACCGGGAAAUACAUUUCAACUUCUCAGGAAAAAACUUGGAGUUUGUAGCUCUUAAUGAAAGGAGGAGUGUUAGAAAAAUGCAUAAGAGCUGCAACAGUUUAAUUUUUAUGUUAUCUAUUAAAAGUUAAUAUUAGUCAGCAGUAAAAUUAGUUUCUAAUCCUUAUCCUUAUCUUUAGGAGUUGGUUAUUUUUUUAGUUAGGAUUGUAACCUAUAAAUAAUUUUAAUUCUGCAAUAAAGCUGUAGUUUUUGCUUUUAUCAAUAUCUCUCAGUUAAACUUAUCAAACUCAUGUUCUACUUGUUCACCAACAUGUAAAAUCAAUUUCUUAUGUUCUUCACUCUCUGGAAACUAACAGGGUGCUAAAACUGGAAAAGGAGCGAGGAAUUCCCUUGAGGGACAUGGUUAAUCUCCUAUAUGGGAAUGUGAGAGGUUUGAAUCCUCUCAAAGUAGAAGGAAGUCCAGUUCCUCUAUAAUUAGCUUGAAGUGCAAUUAGUUGGUUUUCUUGAUACUAAAAUAAAGAAUAAUAGCCUAGAUAGAAUUGUUGCUAACAUGUUUGGG